rnacentral:lncRNA from 1 species
GAUAAACGUCCCUACAACAUGAUCUUUGGAAUGAACUAAGACAAAGGAAACUCUGAGGAAGGACCAUGGCCUGAGAGGUGGAAUUCAUCCUUCCGAGGACUGAGAUGAGGACGGAAAAUGAACCAUCGGGGGGAUUGACGGUGAAGAUGCUAAUACCUGCCCAGCAUCGACCCUAGUGCGGGUCCCAAGACCAUCCCCCUGUGCAGGCUCCACCACCGCUGUGCUAACUGGACCGCGGCAGAAGAGUGGAAGUUUUCAUGGGCUGAGCUGCUGAGUUCAGCCUGGGAACUGAGGCCAACAAGGGAGUCUCCUCGGCACACAAGUUUGAAAGAAGUCCUGGUGACUUCAAGCUCAGAACCAUGGACGGCAGGGCUCCCUCUGGAUGUGGAAUUCUCCGUCCCUUUCCAGGGAGGGAACAAAGCCCACAGCACCGGAACUGGCCAGUCAUGGUGGCUUAUGCCUGUAAUCCCAGGACUUUGGGAGGCCGAGGCUGGAGGAUCACUUGAGCCAAGGAGUUUUAAGACCAGCGUGGGCAACAUGGCAAAACCCCAUCUCUACAAAAAAUAGAAAAAUUAGCCCGGUGUGAUGGUGCAUGCUUGUAAUCGCAGCUACUUCGGAUCCUGAGAGACUCCUUCAGGGUGAGCAAAGGCCUGGAAACCUGUAUGCAGUUAAAGAAAAGGAAAGAAAGAGAUAAUCAGUGCAUGCAGUUGUCAGCUGGCUGGGACCUGAGGAGAGUCACUUGUGGAGGCAACUGGUCUUUAUCCCUAUUGUCCGGUACAAGGCAGGCAUUAAUCCUGUGAUCCUUAUCUGAAGCUCAGGUUUGAUUUUAUUCUUUU